rnacentral:tRNA from 1 species
GGAGGGGUCGCAUAGCGGACUAGUGCGGCGGUCUUGAAAACCGCUGAGGUGCAAGCCUCCGUGGGUUCGAAUCCCACCCCCUCCGCCA